rnacentral:tRNA from 1 species
GGGGAUUUGGCUCAGUGGUAGAGCGCUUGCCUAGCAAGCACAAGGCCCUGGGUUCGGUCCCCAGUUCCA